rnacentral:rRNA from 1 species
CUACGGGUCGCUCCAGUGAGGAAUAUUGCACAAUGGGGGGAACCCUGAUGCAGCAACGCCGCGUGGAGGAUGACGCAUUUCGGUGUGUAAACUCCUUUUAUAUGUCAAGAAAAUGACGGUAGCAUAUGAAUAAGCACCGGCUAACUCCGUGCCAGCAGCCGCGGUAAUACGGAGGGUGCAAGCGUUACUCGGAAUCACUGGGCGUAAAGGACGCGUAGGCGGGUUGAAAAGUCAGGUGUGAAAGCCUACAGCUUAACUGUAGAACUGCACUUGAAACUCUCAACCUAGAGUAUGGGAGGGGCAGAUGGAAUUAGUGGUGUAGGGGUAAAAUCCGUAGAUAUCACUAGGAAUACCUAAAGCGAAGGCGAUCUGCUGGAACAUUACUGACGCUAAGGCGUGAAAGCGUGGGGAGCAAACAGGAUUAGAUACCCCCGUAGUC